UGGGUUCGGUACCUCAAAAAAGGUUAAGAACUACUGCACUAGACAUAUGUGUAAAGCGAGCUGGGAGCGAGCUGGGAGGUCAUAUGAACUCCCAGGUCGCUUUACCUGGGAGUUCACUAUCACUAUGAAAUUUCAAAGUGAUAGUAUGGUAGCUUUACCUGGGAGUUCAGUUUAAUAGUGACCUGGAAGUUCAGGUCACUAUUUAACUGAACUCAAUUAAGGUACUGAGAUACAACCUGUAACGCAAGACUAAUUAAGCCACUGAACAAGUUCACCUUCUGCGGUAAAUUCCCAGAAGAGUAAUACUGGUUGGAACACCACCUGGAUUAGAGAGACUAUUCAAAAUAUAACAACUUUGUUUCCAAAUGGAAACAAACCACCUUAAAAACAGGAAACACUGAUAGAUUAAUUAAAAAAUUCAGAUAAUCGCAUGAUCAGCUUUUUGUUUAAUGUCUUACUUGGAUAAAAUAAACGUGAAACAAAAACACAAAGGACAAAAUGUUCCUAGAAAAUAACUGACAGCAAGAAGGUCCAUAUAAACUGUACAUCUGAUAUAAGAGGUAUUUUAUGACAAGCGUAGUGUAUCCAUGACCAUGUUUUAUUUAACACAACUAAAGCCUGCAUGGUGUGAGCCAAAAAUGUGUUAUGAAUGCAGAAUACAAACUAAUAUAUCCAGCUUUACAUGACAUUCAAGUACUGUCCUGCACAACGUAAAGUAAAUGCUAUUACUUCUGCAGUUGCCUAAGUUUCAUAUGAAAGUUUCUACAAUUUUCUUUUCCUGAAAUUUAGCAGUUAGCAAAAGUUUCCCUGGAAAAUGUUUUCUGUGUUUUUAUAGGGUACCAGAGAUAAGUAAAAAAAGAACCAUAAUAACAAAGACACAAUAUGAUUAAACAUUUUUGUACCAUUCUAAAGUCAUUUGGAAAAUUUAGAUUCUCCUACUUUUUUCACAAGAUUCACAUUUUAUGCGAUAGAUUUCUAAUUCAAAAAUACAAAAUAAUGGUACUCAUCGGAAAUUUUGGCAUCAACUAUUUAGCUGUAAUAUAGUUAAUAUAUUAACUAUAAUAAACCCCAAAGAUAAAACAAAAAAGUCAAAAGCUAAAUCCAGCUAUAUUUCUUCGCUUUUUUUGAUUGUUUCAUGCCGGUACAAAAUAGGGUCUCUGUGUAUUGACCACUGUCAACUCACACUGUCAGGGGAACAUUUUGAUGCAUUUCCUCCUUCAUAUUUAUAUGUCACUUCUUUUCAAAACAAGAAUUCACAAAUCAGAUUGUUUCAGCUGCGACAGACUUGCGGCCUGUCCAGGGUGAACCCCGCCUCUCGCCCGGAACGUAGCUGGAGAUAGGCACCAGCAGCCCUCCCGACCCCAUUAGGGACAAGGGUGAACAAAAAAUGGAUGGAUGGAGAUUGUUUCAGACUUCGACCGGGGCAGAGGACAUUACAAAAAUAAGAAAGACAUUUACAUGUUUUUCAAACUAUGCCACGAUUGAUCUGAUUAGUUACCGUAGUCUCAUAACACAAGCAAUAAAUUUGCAUUUAAACGCAAAUACAGUGCAUGUUUUUUUAUAACAUACAUCACACUAAUAAGAAAAGGUGCACAUAUAAAGGUUGUAGAGCUGUAUUUUAAACUCAACUCUCACUGUAUUUUAGAAAACAUAGCAACAAUAUUUGAUUUUCAAGACAGAGAUGGAGGGAAGCGUUUUUUAGUCAUCACCAUCUUACUUUCAUUUAGUUCUUGUGAAGGGUGAACUUGCACAAUGUCUGCAAAAUUCUCAUGUGCUGUCAUCAAAUGAUUAUAAAUGUUUAAGAUUCUUUAGCCACAAACUAAACACAGCAUACCUGAACACCAAACACACAAACACGUUAGAUAGUUAUUAAAUAUUCUUUGCAUUCUGACACGCCAACUGAGAAACGUAUGAAGAAUACAUUUGCUCAGCUUUUGAAUUUCAACAGCCUUGAGCAACAGGUUCACAAAUAAAAGCUGUAGGGCUGCAUUUUCCAGGAAGUGGUAACUUCCUCUGUAGAUAACACUUUUCAUUUUUUUUGUUUUGAGAAUUGGUCCCACCCACCGUAACAGACUGCGUGGUUCAUCCCUUCAGUCAUAUUUCAUAGAACACUGUUGCCUUUGAGAGCAUCAAGCCAACCACAGAACCCGGCAGCACAGUCUGCAGAAACCGAAGAUGUCUAGAAAAAUGCCAAGUCUCUGUCUAGCUCUGCUCCUAACCCUCACCUCGGCGCAAGCAGCACAGAAAACUCUUGACUCCAUCAGUGAAAUAAAACGUUUUGUUCCUCAGCCUACUAACAUUUUAGAACUGCUUCGCUGGUUUGCCAACACAGUCAGUAUUGACAAUCGUGAUAACGUGAGGUUGACCUUUGAACCAGAAUCUGAUUAUGGUUCACAUCAUUACGGGAAUUUUGAAGGGAUGUUGAAUCCACCUCCUUGGGGGUACAAAUACUACACAGUUGGAAAUAUUCGUAAAGACUUGUUAACACAGCUCCCUCCUCAUGUACAAAACGCCAGAACUGGAACCAUUGGAUGGAACAGAGGUCGGAUCGUAUUUAGCGCCAUAGAAGUCAACAGGGGAUGGAACAUACAACAAGUCUACAUCACACAGCAUUGUGGCACUUCUGUAUAUAAUGGCACCAGUUAUGACCCAAACCACACAUACCAGAUCACUACCAACCUUUUACGAGAAUUGAGAGGACGGUCCAUUUCGGAAAUCCUAAUUGGUCACACUGGUUCCCAGAGAAGCAACUUUGAAAGCACAUCUACUCGGCCACAAGAAUUCUUCUUCUCUAAUCAGAACCAUGUCCUUCAAGCUAACCCAAGAACAACUGAUGAAGAUGAUGUCCUCGGAAAAGUUUGUACUGCCCUGGCAGUAUUUUUUAUUUUGCUAUUGAUUUUCCUAGGCAAUGUAGGUAAAUAAAGUAAGGUUGAUACAAUGUAUCUGAUUGUGAUUAUUCAAAUAGUCAACUAAAUUAGUAAUUGAAUAAUCGCUAACUGGAAUAUGCAAACCCUUAAACAUGGCGUCUGCUUAAAAGAACAACAGCCACACUGCAGUAAUUAAGCCAAAACUUUUCAAAAAUAGGUACAUUUUAGCAUUUAAAGUGAAAAAUCUGUUUUUGCUUGACAAUCUGGAGUACCCAGAACUGAAGUGGCAAUUUUAUUUUCACCAGCUUCAAAUUCUGUAAACAAAAAAAAAAGAAAAAUGUAUUCAGCACAUUUUGCUAUCCAAUUAUUAAUUGGUUAAUCAAAUAAAUAAACAGGUUAGACCUACACUGUGUUCAUGUUAUGUCAAGCAGAAAGGGCUGAGCUUUCUGCAUGUUGAUGUUUGAAUUUUUUGAUAUUUACCUUUUUUUUAGCUGAUGUAAGUGAACAAGCACAUACUAAAGAAAUGCUUAUUACAUUUUUGUCUAUAACAUGUUUAUUCUGUUACUUAAAAAUGAAUUGAAUUCUUUGUUUAUUUGCACAUCCAAUGUGCCAAUUAUUUUUAAUGUGUGAUAGUUGUUACAGUUGUUGAGAUUGAAAAGUGUGGCAAAACGUAGAGCAUGUGACCCAUGUACGGAGGCCUCAGUCCUCGAUGCGGCUGUCGCAGGUUUGAGUCCCGGUCUGUUACUCUUUUCUGUACGUCCUCCGCCUCUCUCAUAAUCCACUUUCCUGUCAACUGAGUGUCAAAUAAAGGCCAUUAGGACAAAAAAAAUCCUUAAAAAAAGAUGAAAGAUUGAAAAUGGAUGUGAAAAGCCUCUAUUGUUGUGUGUUAUUGUGUAUUAUUGGAACUGUGUUUGUUUAGUUAAGAGAUGUGUGCUUUCCCCUUCCCAAUGUAAACUGGAUACAAAGAAAUAAAGCUAACCAUGUAUGUGAUUUAUUAAAA